rnacentral:rRNA from 1 species
GACGAACGCUGGCGGCGUGCUUAACACAUGCAAGUCGAACGGAAAGGCCCUGCUUUUGUGGGGUGCUCGAGUGGCGAACGGGUGUGUAACACGUGAGUAACCUGCCCUUGACUUUGGGAUAACUUCAGGAAACUGGGGCUAAUACCGGAUAGGAGCUCCUGCUGCAUGGUGGGGGUUGGAAAGUUUCGGCGGUUGGGGAUGGACUCGCGGCUUAUCAGCUUGUUGGUGGGGUAGUGGCUUACCAAGGCUUUGACGGGUAGCCGGCCUGAGAGGGUGACCGGCCACAAUGGGACUGAGAGACGGCCCAGACUCCUACGGGAGGCAGCAGUGGGGAAUAUUGCACAAUGGGCGGAAGCCUGAUGCAGCAACGCCGCGUGCGGGAUGACGGCCUUCGGGGUGUAAACCGCUUUCGCCUGUGACGAAGCGUGAGUGACGGUAAUGGGUAAAGAAGCACCGGCUAACUACGUG